ensembl:lncRNA
AUUGUAGAAAUAGAAUGAACUAAAGAAAUGCUGUAUGUUCCUUUAAGCAGGAAUGAGGAAUGUUGAAAUAAAGUUGUCAGGAAGAGGAACAUUAAGGUAUUGAACAAUGGGUCCACUUAAGCUGAUGGUGGGACAUUAACAGGAGAUUGGUGAGAGUUAAUAAGGACAUGAGAUAUGUGUCUAGCUCCAGGUAAAUUUAUCAGUUCUGCUCCCUUUGUAAUCUUGUUAAUCUCACGCCCUUUUAUCUGUAUAAAUAAGGUAGUUUGAGCCUUGUAUGGCUCUCACAUUUUCUGGGUGUAUUAGCAGAGCGCUUUUGCUAAUAAACAGAGUGGUCUGACAAAUUGUGAGUCCUGAAUCUGACUUUGACAAUGGGCAGGGGAGUUGCUCUAGGUAGCAUGUCUGGAUGUGCCUUUGCAGUGAAGUGGAAAAGGCAACCUAACUCAGCUAAAGAGUGGAAUGACCCACAAGCUCCAGUACAUGUGUGAGGUACAUUCUGACCACCCUUACCCUGUAUCAGAUGAAGGUGGAAAGUGUGGUUGAAGUACUUGGCUGGGAUGAUUUAGCUGGGAAUUGGUCCUGCUUUGAGCAGGGGGUUGGACUAGAUGACCUCUUGAGGUCCCUUCCAACUCUGAUAUUCUAUGAUUCUACUUUGUUAAAUGUAAGGAGCAGGAGCUGGAGGAAAAGAGGGACUGUAUUCACACAGUACAGAACUAACAUUGUUGAAUUGCUCAUCAGCUGCUCCCUUGAGGCAGCUGGCCCCGCCUGGAGUAUUGCGGAGUGUAGGAGCACCACAUCCCAUAACAGAGCUGGCUAUGUAGAAGCACCAACUUCUUUCUUCCUGACGCAGGAGAGGGAUCUCCCCCACCCUCCUGUUGGCGCUCUCUCUUCUGCUGUAGGUUCAUCCCCACCCUGUGGGUCAGGUCUCAUUAGUGGGGUGCAGCUUGUGAGUUGUUCCCUAGGGCUAUGCUGGAAAAUACCCAAGGUGGCCCUGGCUGGGUCUCUGAGCCCAGUUACAGUUUAGCCUCUUCGGUGCCAGAUUCCUGCCAAUCCCCAGCCCAGUCCUGCCAGCCUCUAGUUCGGAAGCACAAGCCAGGUCCAGAAACUGCCCUCACAGGAGUCUGGCUGCUGACUGAGCUCAGGGGGUGCUGCCUAUAGCGCUGCAGCAGAAAAGCACAUGCUCUUGCCCCCUCCAACCCCAGCUUCCCAAGCAGCAGCCAGGCUGCAGGACCACCCUGCUUUUGCUGACACACCUGGCUGGUGGCUCCUCCUGGGAAUCCCUCCUGCCUCCCCGCCAGCCUCCCUCAGAGACCUUUGCCCUGAAUUUAUCCCCAGCAGAGGAGCUGGGGCCAGUGGCCAGGAGCUACAGGCAGCACUAGAUCCUGCUUGCUGAGGCAGUGGAGUGGAGGCCUGUGGUGGCCAAAGCAUACUGCAGCCACUGGAAUUUAGGAAGCCUCCAGAAAGUGCUUGGGGAACCAGUUGGUUGAAGAGCCCAGAGCAGCUGGGUUUGGAGCAUGCACUCGAGCACCAAGCUGCCUGCUCUGCCCAGGACAGGCUAGUUAGAAUUGCCCAGUGAUUAGGGCACUAGCCUAGACCUUGGGUACCAGUUCCUGUUCUGCCAGAGUCUCCACUGCCUUGCUGGGGGCCCUGGCUGAAUCAGUCUCUGCGUAAUGGCCCAGCUGUAUCAGCAGGCCAGCAGUGACCGACCUCACCAGGGAAAGGACAGAGGGAGAGUGAUGUCUAGAGUAACAAGGAAAAUAAUCAAUCCUCCCCCCGCACCCCCCAGUCUUUCAGGCCUUCAGUCAGAGAGCAGCAAGGGACACAAAGGGUACGUCUUCACUACCCGCCGUAUCAGCGGGUAGCAAUCGAUUUAUCCGGGAUCAAUCUAUCACGUCUCGUUAAGUCGCAAUAUAUCGAUCCCCGAACACGCUCGCCGUCGACUCCAGAACUCCACCAGAGCGAGCAGCGGUAGCGCAGUUGGUGGCGGAGCCGCGGCCAUCGAUCCUGUGCCGUCUGGACCCCAGGUAAUUCGAUCCAAGAUACUUAGACUUCAGCUAGGCACGUAUCUUGGAUCGAUCCCCCCCAGCAUAGACCAGCCCAAAGCUCCAACCGACCCUCUGUUCCCAGAUCAGCCCCCUCCCCCCGUUUCUGACAGAGGCAGGAAUUACCCUUGAAGUGAUGGCGCCCCAGCGUGGCUCCGACACAACACUACCCUUCUGGCCCUGGCUGCUCUCCCGUAACAUUGCUCCUGCCUUGCACAGCCCCAGAGGUAGCCGCAUUCAAGUGGGACAUGAGGCUUUAAUAAAUGGAAGAUCAUGGGGACA